CACGUAGGAGGCAAACGUUAUCCGGAUUUACUGGGCGUAAAGCGCGUGUAGGUGGUACUGUAAGUAGGGCGUGAAAGCUCCUGGCUCAACUGGGAGAGGCCGUUCUAAACUACAGAACUAGAGGAUGGUAGAGGGAGGUGGAAUUCCAGGUGUAGCGGUGGAAUGCGCAGAUAUCUGGAGGAACACCGGUGGCGAAGGCGGCCUCCUGGACCAUUCCUGACACUCAGACGCGAAAGCUAGGGUAGCAAAC
rnacentral:rRNA from 1 species